GGGGUCUGUUUAUAUAGGGGUCAAAAAGUGCCUCUAGGGGUUGUUCUGGUUGCUCCCGUCGUUGUGCGUGAGAAACUUUCCAUCUGAGGGAUUAUUCGGAUUACCAUAAGUGUAUUUUCCAUAAUAGAGAAAAUCGGGACCGAAGGGGAACAGGGGCUGGGCGCCCGCCCUCUCUCUGGCUCCGCUGCGGGCCCGCUUCCUCGAGCGUGUUUCUAGAUGCAGACUUAAUUAGGAAAAUAUAUAUAUGACCCAAAAAUGUCAGACUAAAAAGGUCGGGCUCUAAUUCUCCAUGGGA
rnacentral:lncRNA from 1 species